GGAGACGUGGCCGAGUGGCUGAAGGCAACGGUUUGCUAAAUCGUCGUACCCUUUACGGGGUACCGAGGGUUCGAAUCCCUCCGUCUCCGCCA
rnacentral:tRNA from 1 species